rnacentral:rRNA from 1 species
AUUGAACGCUGGCGGCAGGCCUAACACAUGCAAGUCGAGCGAGCGGCGGACGGGUGAGUAAUGUAUGGGGAACUGCCUGAUGGAGGGGGAUAACUACUGGAAACGGUAGCUAAUACCACAUACCAUCGGAUGUACCCAUAUGGGAUUAGCUAGUAGGUGGGGUAACGGCUCACCUAGGCGACGAUCUCUAGCUGGUCUGAGAGGAUGAUCAGCCACACUGGGACUGAGACACGGCCCAGACUCCUACGGGAGGCAGCAGUGGGGAAUAUUGCACAAUGGGCGCAAGCCUGAUGCAGCCAUGCCGCGUGUAUGAAGAAGGCCUUCGGGUUGUAAAGUACUUUCAGCGGGGAGGCGUUACCCGCAGAAGAAGCACCGGCUAACUCCGUGCCAGCAGCCGCGGUAAUAC